CUUAAUUUGACUCAACACGGGAAAACUUACCAGGUCCAGACAUAGUGAGGAUUGACAGAUUGAGAGCUCUUUCUUGAUUCUAUGGGUGGUGGUGCAUGGCCGUUCUUAGUUGGUGGAUUGAUUUGUCUGCUUAAUUGCGUUAACGAACGAGACCCCCGCCUGCUAAAUAGUUGCAUUAAUGAAUUAUCAUUGUUGACAUCUUCUUAGAGGGACUUUUGGUGAUUAACCAAAGGAAGUUGGGGGCAAUAA
rnacentral:rRNA from 1 species